rnacentral:lncRNA from 13 species
CAGCUCUAAACUGCCCAUAAGCCUCCGGGUUUGCAGAUAUAGCAGGGGUCCCCGCGGCAUCUGCCGCGGCAGCCUUGUGAGCAGCAGGAAGAAAGCUGGGAAGUUCAGACCCUGCCUGUAAGGAGGGUGCGGUGGACGGAUUAAGAACAACGCUGUGAAGGAAAAGCCUGGGUCUCGGUUUGCGGCGUGGGGAGCACCCGGCUUUGCAGAGCUGUGGCGCAGAGGUGGAGCGGAGCUUUUGUCAAUGUGUGUGUUUGAGAACACUGCUGCAGCUAGAACCAGAAAGGACCUGGUGAAUCAGCAAGGGGCUUCUUAUUCUGAGGAUGUGAACCUUCCUGGGGGAGUCCUGCUUCUGUCAGGCAUGACAUUCCAAAUACUUACAGAUGACAUCCCAGAAACCAGCGGCAAAGACCAGACCUCUGGUAGGAAGAGGCAUUAA